AUGUUAGAUACAUCGGGUUUAUCCAAGGCAUGGUGGGGGGAGGCUAUAUUGACAUCUUGUCAUGUUCUGAAUAAAGUUCCCACAAAGGAUAAUGAGACUACUCCCUAUGAGCAAUGGGAAAAGAAGAGAACUACACUCUCUUACUUGCGCACUUGGGGCUGCUUGGCGAAAGUCAACGUGCCAAUAAUCAAAAAGCGCAAGUUGGGACCAAAGACCGUUGACUGUGUUUUUCUUGGCUAUGCCAAGCAUAGCGUUGGCUAUAGAUUUCUAGUGGUGAAAUCUGAGGUACCUGACCAGAAGGUCAGUACAAUUAUAGAGUCUAGGGAUGCUACAUUCUUUAAGGAUAUUUUCCCCAUGAGAGAUAUGCAAAGCAAUUCUAGACUGGAAUCUGAUGAGACUCUUGAACCUGCUAUUCCGAUGGAAUAUUAUGAACAUAAAAGUGAUAAGAGUUCCAUGGAGGAUGACGAGGAAGCUCUUGUUAGGAGCAAGAGACAGAUGACUGCAAAGUCCUUUGGUGAUUAUUUCCUCAUGUACCUCGUGGAUGAUGACACUCCCAGGUCCAUUUCAGAAGCUUAUGCAUCUCCGGAUGCUGAGUACUGGAAGGAUGCGGUCCGUAGUGAGAUGGAUUCGAUCUUGGCUAACGGGACGUGGGAGAUCGCUGAUCGUCCUUAUGGUUGUCGACCAUUAGGAUAUAAGUGGGUGUUCAAAAGGAAGCUUAGGCCCGAUGGUACUGUUGAGAAGUACAAGGCUAGGCUUGUGGCCAAGGGUUAUACCCAAAAAGAAGAAGAAGAUUUCUUUGACACUUAUUCACCCAUGGCUAGACUGACAACCAUUCGAGUGUUACUCGCUUUGGCUGCCUCGCAUGGUCUUCUCGUUCAUCAGAUGGACGUUAAGACGGCUUUCCUUAACGAAGAGCUAGACGAGGAAAUUUACAUGCAACAGCCGGAUGGCUUUGUAGUAAAUGGUCAGGAAGGAAAGGUGUGUAAGCUAGUGAAAUCUUUGUAUGGCCUAAAACAAGCGCCUAAGCAAUGGCAUGAGAAGUGCAACACUACUCUGAUAUCUGCUGGCUUUGUUGUGAAUGAAGCUAACAAAUGUGUAUACUAUCGCUAUGGUUGGGGCGAAGGAGUUAUACCGUGUCUCUAUGUCGAUGACAUACUGAUAUUUGGGACCCACCUCAAGGUCAUUGAGGACGUCAAGUCUUUUCUAUCUCACAACUUUGAGAUGAAGGACCUGUGUGUGGCUGAUGUUAUCCUGAACUUCAAGCUACUGAGAAAUUCUGAGGGUGGAAUUACACUAUUGCAAUCCCACUAUGUUGAGAAGAUUUUGAGCCGUUUUGGAUAUUCGGACUUCAAACCUUCUGCAACACCAUAUGAUCCUAGCGUGCGGAUUCGAAAGUUCGAAGGCACGUCUGUAGAUCAAUUGAGAUAUUCUCAAGUGGUUGGUUCACUGAUGUACCUAGCAUGUGCUACUCGUCCUGACAUCUCAUUUGCUGUGUGCAAACUGAGCCGGUUUGUUUCCAAUCCGGGAGAUGUGCACUGGCAUGCUGUUGAGCGAGUGAUGUGUUAUUUGCAAGGUACUGCGAACUAUGGAAUUCACUAUUCUGGGUACCCGACGGUACUUAAGGGGUAUAGUGAUUCGAAUUGGAUAUCUGAUGCUGAUGAGAUGAAAGCCACUAGUGGACAUGUCUUCACACUUGGUGGUGGUGCUGUUUCCUGGAAGUCUUGCAAGCAGACGAUCUUAACCAGAUCGACUAUGGAAGCAGAACUCACAGCAUUAGACACAUCAUGCGUCGAAGCAGAAUGGCUUCGAGAGCUUUUGAUGGAUUUGCCGGUGGUUGAUAAACGAGUGCCAGCUGUCCUUAUGAACUGUGACAAUCAAAGAGUGAUUAAGAAAAUUGAAAUCUGUCAGAAAAUCAAGAAACUCCGGAGUAAUAGCGUUGGAUUACAUCUAGACGGCUAA
rnacentral:rRNA from 1 species